rnacentral:rRNA from 1 species
GAUGAACGCUAGCGGCAGGCUUAACACAUGCAAGUCGAGGGGUAUAGUUUUUCGGAACUAGAGACCGGCGCACGGGUGCGUAACGCGUAUGCAAUCUACCUUUUGCAGAGGGAUAGCCCAGAGAAAUUUGGAUUAAUACCUCAUAGUAUAGCGACAUCGCAUGAUGAUGCUAUUAAAGUCACAACGGCAAAAGAUGAGCAUGCGUCCCAUUAGCUAGUUGGUAAGGUAACGGCUUACCAAGGCAACGAUGGGUAGGGGUCCUGAGAGGGAGAUCCCCCACACUGGUACUGAGACACGGACCAGACUCCUACGGGAGGCAGCAGUGAGGAAUAUUGGACAAUGGGCGCAAGCCUGAUCCAGCCAUGCCGCGUGCAGGAUGACGGUCCUAUGGAUUGUAAACUGCUUUUAACGAGAAGAAACACUCCAACGUGUUGGAGCUUGACGGUAUCGUAAGAAUAAGGAUCGGCUAACUCCGUGCC